rnacentral:rRNA from 1 species
GUGGGGAAUAUUGCACAAUGGGCGAAAGCCUGAUGCAGCGACGCCGCGUGAGCGAUGAAGUAUUUCGGUACGUAAAGCUCUAUCAGCAGGGAAGAUAAUGACGGUACCUGACUAAGAAGCACCGGCUAAAUACGUGCCAGCAGCCGCGGUAAUACGUAUGGUGCAAGCGUUAUCCGGAUUUACUGGGUGUAAAGGGAGCGUAGGCGGCGUGGUAAGUCAGAAGUGAAAGCCCGGGGCUCAACCGCGGGACUGCUUUUGAAACUAUCAUGCUAGAGUGUCGGAGAGGUAAGUGGAAUUCCUAGUGUAGCGGUGAAAUGCGUAGAUAUUAGGAGGAACACCAGUGGCGAAGGCGGCUUACUGGACGAUAACUGACGCUGAGGCUCGAAAGCGUGGGGAGCAAACAGGAUUAGAAACCCUGGUAGUCC